rnacentral:rRNA from 1 species
GACGAACGCUGGCGGCGUGCUUAACACAUGCAAGUCGAACGGAAAGGCCCUGCUUUUGUGGGGUGCUCGAGUGGCGAACGGGUGAGUAACACGUGAGUAACCUGCCCUUGACUUUGGGAUAACUUCAGGAAACUGGGGCGAAUACCGGAUAGGAGCUCCUGCUGCAUGGGGGGGGUUGGAAAGUUUCGGCGGUUGGGGAUGGACUCGCGGCUUAUCAGCUUGUUGGUGGGGUAGUGGCUUACCAAGGCUUUGACGGGUAGCCGGCCUGAGAGGGUGACCGGCCACAUUGGGACUGAGAUACGGCCCAGACUCCUACGGGAGGCAGCAGUGGGGAAUAUUGCACAAUGGGCGGAAGCCUGAUGCAGCAACGCCGCGUGCGGGAUGACGGCCUUCGGGUUGUAAACCGCUUUCGCCUGUGACGAAGCGUGAGUGACGGUAAUGGGUAAAGAAGCACCGGCUAACUACGUG